rnacentral:rRNA from 1 species
AGAUUAAGUUAUUAAGGGCGCACGGUGGAUGCCUUGGCACUAGAAGCCGAUGAAGGACGUUACUAACGACGAUAUGCUUUGGGUAGCUGUAAGUAAGCGUUGAUCCAGAGAUUUCCGAAUGGGGGAACCCAGCAUGAGUUAUGUCAUGUUAUCGACAUGUGAAUUCAUAGCAUGUCAGAAGGCAGACCCGGAGAACUGAAACAUCUUAGUACCCGGAGGAAGAGAAAGAAAAAUCGAUUCCCUGAGUAGCGGCGAGCGAAACGGGAAGAGCCCAAACCAACAAGCUUGCUUGUUGGGGUUGUAGGACACUCUAUACGGAGUUACAAAAGAACAUGUUAGACGAAUCAUCUGGAAAGAUGAAUCAAAGAAGGUAAUAAUCCUGUAGUCGAAAACAUAUUCUCUCUUGAGUGGAUCCUGAGUACGACGGAGCACGUGAAAUUCCGUCGGAAUCUGGGAGAACCAUCUCCUAAGGCUAAAUACUCUCUAGUGACCGAUAGUGAACCAGUACCGUGAGGGAAAGGUGAAAAGUACCCCGGAAGGGGAGUGAAAGAGAACUUGAAACCGUGUGCUUACAAGUAGUCAGAGCCCGUUAAUGGG